rnacentral:pre_miRNA from 1 species
GUCAUACUCCCUCCGUCCCAAAAUAAGUGUCUCAACUUUGUACUAACUCUAGUACAAAGUUGUACUAAGCUUGAGACACUUAUUUUGGGACGGAGGGAGUACUUA